UCCAGCAUUGGGCGAAAGCUGUUGGUGAGGCUUUUCAGGGGGAUGAGACUGCCAGUGGUGCCGCGCACAGACUGGUCUGAAUAAAGAUUUUCAUAUCUCUUUGUUUCAUUAUCGUUAAAAGAAGACAUAAGUGAAAGGAAAACUCACCAACUAACGAAACUCCACUCCCCUAAAUAACAGCAAAAAAAAGCAAACCUAUGAAAACAAAACAAAACAAGAUACCAAACAACCAGACCAUU